rfam:Jannaschia seosinensis strain CECT 7799 genome assembly, contig: 0064
GGGGACCUCCGGGGCCCUACAACUGCGCGGCGGAAUGACCCGUCGCGCCACGCAAACGGAAGACAGGUA